rnacentral:lncRNA from 1 species
CACUAGAGUGCAAAAGUUAGUUUGAUUACCUUGUAGCUCAUGUGAAGGAUGGCCACUCAUAGGAAUUUGAUUAGGAAGGCUUGGAUGCUCCAUCAAGUUAUCCAACUUCUUGCACAGAGAGCCUUCCGUCCCUUCCAAUCUUCCUUCCAUUCUGUCCAUUGUUCGCCUAUCUAUGGCAUCAAGUCUUUCCAUGAUGGAUUUAACCCAACUAGGCAUUUCAGCUUCAUUCGCCAUUGUACCCAUCAAGAGCUACUAAGCAAACAACACGAAAACAACAAACACAUUAAAGAUUAGCAAAAAUCAGUGCACAAUUCCUCACAAAACAGUCCACAAUGCGUCUCAAAAUAGUCCACAAUCCCUCACUUUCAUACUUUGGAUUUUUCACUCUAUUAGCCUUACAAGUGUUGAUAACUCGCUUAUACUCCAAUGAGGUUACUUGGUCCCAAUUGUGGCUCGAGGUAGGAGUAGAUUCUUGUUUGAAACGACUCAAAUAAGUAAUGUUCGAACUUGAACCAAAAAAGAUACUACGACUCAAAAACAAAAAAAGCACACAACAAACAACGUUACCACGAAGAACGUACACAAAACUAACUUACAAGCUAGUACGGUAUUACUAGGUUGUCAAUUAGUGUCGAGCAAACAAACGAAACUAGGAAACAAAAAAAUGAAACUAAUCUAAAAUUUGAACUCAAAAAUGUUGCGUGAACAGUACUUUAGUGACGUGGCAGUCCACUAUUGGCCUCGAGUUUUAUCAAAAUUUUAUUUCCCAAUUUCAAGUCUUGAUCAAUAUACAAUUUNN